rnacentral:rRNA from 1 species
CGAACGGGUGAGUAACACGUGAGCAACCUGCCCCUGACUCUGGGAUAAGCCUGGGAAACUGGGUCUAAUACCGGAUAUGACCAGCCUCCGCAUGGUGUGUUGGUGGAAAGUUCUUCGGUUGGGGAUGGGCUCGCGGCCUAUCAGCUUGUUGGUGGGGUGAUGGCCUACCAAGGCGACGACGGGUAACCGGCCUGAGAGGGCGACCGGUCACACUGGGACUGAGACACGGCCCAGACUCCUACGGGAGGCAGCAGUGGGGAAUAUUGCGCAAUGGGCGGAAGCCUGACGCAGCGACGCCGCGUGGGGGAUGACGGCCUUCGGGUUGUAAACCUCUUUCAGCAGGGACGAAGCUUACGUGACGGUACCUGCACAAGAAGCGCCGGCUAACUACGUGCCAGCAGCCGCGGUAAUACGUAGGGCGCAAGCGUUGUCCGGAAUUAUUGGGCGUAAAGAGCUCGUAGGCGGUUUGUCGCGUCUGUCGUGAAAGCCCACGGCUUAACCGUGGGUCUGCGGUGGAUACGGGCAGACUAGAGGCAGGUAGGGGAGAAUGGAAUUCCCGG